rnacentral:rRNA from 1 species
UACGAGGGGUCCUAGCGUUGUUCGGAAUCACUGGGCGUAAAGCGUGCGCAGGCGGUUGUGCAAGACAGAUGUGAAAUCCCCGGGCUCAACCUGGGAAUUGCAUUUGUGACUGCACGGCUAGAGUGUGUCAGAGGGGGGUAGAAUUCCACGUGUAGCAGUGAAAUGCGUAGAGAUGUGGAGGAAUACCGAUGGCGAAGGCAGCCCCCUGGGAUAACACUGACGCUCAUGCACGAAAGCGUGGGGAGCAAACAGG